rnacentral:rRNA from 1 species
UACGUAGGGGGCAAGCGUUGUCCGGAAUUAUUGGGCGUAAAGCGCGCGCAGGCGGUCAUUUAAGUCUGGUGUAUAAUCCUAGGGCUCAACCUUGGGUCGCACUGGAAACUGGAUGACUUGAGUGCAGAAGAGGAGAGUGGAAUUCCACGUGUAGCGGUGAAAUGCGUAGAGAUGUGGAGGAACAUCAGUGGCGAAGGCGGCCAUCUGGGACAACACUGACGCUGAGGCACGAAAGCGUGGGGAGCAAACAGG